AAAUGCUAACCCUAGGGCUGCUCCUCAAUCCCCUCCUAUCUCCCUUCCCCGCAGCCCAACUCCUCUCUCGCUAGCCACCUCUCUCCCCCACGCAACUCCUUGCCCCCGCCGCCGCCGCUCGAUUCCAGCAACUUCCGGUCGCUAUUGCCGGUGUGCAGCACACCCUAAACUUCUACUCGGUCCGCUCCAUCCUCCCGUCCGUCUAGAUUAACCGCUCCCGGUCGCCAACGCUCGCCCGCAAUCCCUCGUCGUGGUUAGGGUUUCGGUGACGGCGCUGCUCCGACGGAUCCUCUCCGUCGCCUACCGCCCUGCUGGAUGGCGCUCAUGGUACAGGAAGUCGCGAAGGCCCUCCUCCUCCCGCAAGAUGUGCUGGCACAGCGCACCUACAUCGGCAUGCUCGACACGAGCGCGGGCGCGACGACCUCGUCCCACUCGAAGAUGGUGGCGGCGAACGUCGGUGCAGUUCUCUACGCGCGCCGAUGCAGCUCACACACCCUCCUCCUGAACCCCGUCCACGUCCACCCAUCCGGUGAUGUAAGCUCGUCUCUCCCCAUUUAUCCCAAAAUCUGGAGUGCACUUGCAUCUGACGUACAUACAUAUGAAUAAGCACCAUUGUUCGCUUCAGUCUGUAUGCUUCAGUCUAUAAGCUAUCUGGAUGGCACCUGCAUCUGUUGAUGCAUAGAAUAAGCACCAUACUUUGGCCUAAUUUCUAUGUGUAAAUUUGGUUUAACUUUGACUGAAAAUAUAUACAAGUAAAUAUAUAUGAUUGUUUCAUUUAAGCAUGCACAGAUUCUGUUCUGAUUACCUCCAUUUUUUCCCACAACAAGCCAGCAAAGCAAAGAUUCAAUGAUGCUUGUUAUGGCCUUUGAAAAUUGUAAUUGCAUCUAGUCUUGUAGGUUAAUUAUCUGAAAAACACAAAAUUUUAGGGUGGUUCAUAGCUGCUGUUCAGGUCACUUCUUUAUAGGUUUACACUUGUUUCAUCCAUGCAUAUUUGUGCAGGAAGUAUUAUGUAGAACAGAGGAGAAGGGGCACAAUCAUCCCAGCUUGUUCGCAAACAGGCUCAUUUCAUUAGUUUUGCAAAGAUGUGAGUCUGACUUUUUCUUCUAAAAGUACUAAUUCAGUUCAGUGGGAAAGAUUAGUUGUGUGGUUGACUGAGUAGCAUAGAACUUGCAAAAAUAUUCUUCUGUGGCACUCACACACGUCUCUUGCUGGAGUCAGAAAACUCAGUCGUUGCUCGAUUUGUAAGUAACUAACUCUAUGGCACAGCAGGGCAUGUAAGAAAUUACCUAGUUUAUCAUUAGAAAAUCAUUUUAACUGGAGUAGCUGGGUAAUGCGGUGGCUGGAAGCUGAGUACACGGAGACUAUUAAGGUGAGAUGGGAAACAAAUUCUGCAGAUUGAUUUUCCUAGGCACUUGUCCUUGGAGGAACUGUGUGAUGCCUGGUAUACACACCUGCGUGAAACUUACUUCUUUGGUCCAAGUCCUUCUCCAUGAAAAUUUAUAGCUGCUCCACUACGUGAUCUCAAACAACUCCUCGCUGUUAUCAUUUCUCUUAGGUUCUAGGUUAGAGAAGCUGCAAAAUUGUGGCUCAUACAAUCCUAUCCUAGCCUGCACGCAUACACAUGCCCAUGGAGUCAUGGGUCUGGUUAGCAACGAACCAACUCAUAGGUGAGUUCGAUCAACUCACCCGACAGCGUGGACUUUGGUAUAGGUCAACGUUUUUCUUUGGGUGGAAAAGAUCAAUGUUGUACACGUCCGGGACAUAUAUAGUAGACGUAUUGGACCUGAGAAAGCUAGACGUGGUGGGCGUGGAUAGCUAGCUAGACGUGGUGGAUCUUAGACUCAUGACAUUAUUUGGAAUAUUAAUCCGGGUUCACCAAGUUUACAUUGUAAAAAAGAUCUAACGGACAUGACUGCUCUAUAACAAAAGAUAUACAAGAUCUAAGCUGGUAUUUUCUAAUUAUUGUGCGAUUUUUUAGAAUAUUCCUCUAUAUUUCACCCGUAUUUUGCUUUUAGUAUAUAAUAGAAUAGAUAGAUUGAUAGAUAGAUAGAUAGAUAGUUGUAUGUUUGAUAAUUGUUGAUGAUAUCUUAUGGUUGCAAAAGAAAUGUAUCUUUGGGCAAAAUGUCCACAUUCUUACAUAGGUCCAUUGUUGUCCCCUUCAUAGCCCGUUGGUUCUAUUUUCAUUAUAUAUCUUUUUUGUUCUAAGUGUUAAUUGUUGAGUGUCAACAAUAUGUGGAUAUUGUUCUUCAGGUUAUCAUGGCUGAAACUUGGGCAAAACUAUGGGCAUACGAAAUACAUAUUUGUUUUUGUUGCCUUAUAAACAUGGUUGUGAACGGACUGAAUAUUGGCAAACAGCUAUAUAUCCAUUCUCACUUACUUUGUUGUUUCUGAAAGUGAAAGGGACAAAGGAUAGCGCAGAGAGCAGAUAACACAUGGGGUAUGUUGAUAUUUUUGGUCGAAUUUACAGUCCAUUAGCUGUCAUAAAUAUAUCACAACUAGCAUGCAUACAUCCUGACAACAUUGAUGAAGAUAUGCUUGAUAACUACUCCCUUCGUCCCAUAAUAUAGGAUGUUUUUUGACACUAACGGAGGGAGUAACUAACAAGAUCUGAUUAUUCGUUUCAUAAAUGUUUACAAGAAAUAAGUAAGGAAUAUAGACUAAAUUUGUAGUUCUUGUGCAAGCUGAUGAAGUUUUCUAUACCUGUAGAAGCUUUGUUCCUACUAUUCUCACCUUGUACACAUAUAUAGCAUUGUUCCUACUAUUGUAACCUUGUAUACAUACAUACUGGUUCGUUUUUUUUGUGAGAAAAGGUUCAUUUGAUUAUUGUUUCUUGUUAGAAAUAAUGGUACUAUGCUGGUCAAGUGGGCACCUUGUAUACAUAUAUGCUUUUCUGUCUAUCCUUGAACUAAUACAAAAGAAGCAUGAUCAUUUCAAGAUGCACUUUCGCGAAGGAAACCGACAAACUAUAUCAUAUUUUCUGUUAAUAUUUUUCAUGCCAUUUGAAGUUCGCUUGACAAGCAAGUAUUGUUUACUGUUUGUCAUCCCUUUGAGAUAUACGUUCCUUUGGGAGCUGUCUCUUAUGCAGUGUAAUUCUUUGUGUUUUGGAUUCUUUGUAGGUUUGCCAGUUAGUUCGUGUUACUAUCGACCAAGGCUUUUUAGCAGGAAUUACUUGGGUCUGAAAAGCUUCCUGGAAGUGGUGGUCUAGUGUUCGAGAUUAAAAUCAUGUAGUAGUGCAGUUUCAAUGAUGUUAUGUUACUUGAUUUUUAUUAAAUGCUUAUGCUUAUGGCACCUUGUAAAUAUGCUUGUAAUGUUUCGAUAUUAAUUUUGCUUUUUGAAAUCAGACCGGAUUGUUGGGAAUUUGUAUUGUCUUGUUGAAUGAAUAUAAUUGCAUGUCUUGUUGUAAAUUAUGAUGCAUUGAGAAGAUAAGCUGGGGUGAAAAGAAGGGCUAAUCGGUUGGACUCGAAUGAAAUUAUUGAGCCAAAACCUAAUUC
rnacentral:lncRNA from 1 species